rnacentral:snoRNA from 2 species
CCCCUCUCAGGGUCACACCUGGAGAGUUUCAAGUAUUCUACCAGUCUCCACUACGGGAGGGAGAGUCAAGCAGAGGCCUACCCAUUCCAUUCCUAGCUUGGCUAGUGGCUAGCGAGCGGAAGGCCAUCUGCUACAAGU